CCGCGACUAGCGGGUGCCUGGAAGCUGUCGGCGCCAUGGCGAGGAAGGGAAGGAGUGAGGGCAGCGCAGCGGGGGAGCGCCGGCCCUGGUCCUGCUGCUCGGGGCCUACCGGCUGCAGUGCAGGGUUUGUUUAUAGGCGUGUUUCACCUAUAAAUCAUGUUAUUGACGGUAGCGUUGUGCUGGAAAAGGCUCUCCUCCGUGCUCUUAAAACGCGUGUUGCGGGUGAGGAGGGAUUUUUGGAAGGGUCUGGAACACCUGCGGGAGCUGGGGCUGUUCAGCCGGGAGAAGAUGAGGCUUGGGAAGGACCUUCCCGUUCUCGACAGCUCUCUCAAAGGAGCUUGUGGCCAGAGAAACAAGAACAGAUGGAUACUUCCUUAACACCUGCUGCUGUGGGAGUCUUCUGAAACACUUGCAAACUCUGCAGCCCCUGAAGAGUUCAUGCCGAGGCAGAUUUAUCCUGAAGGACUGCAGUCCGUGGAAGGGCACGUGCUGGAGCAGAGGAAAAGUAAGUGGAUGAAGGAGUGAGAAAGAGGAGCUCUUAUGGACUGGUUGCAAUCCUCAUUUUAUUUCUGCACCAGGCUUGGGGCAGAAGCGAGUUGGUAAUGAAAGAAUGAUGUGGAUUCUGGGAAAAGAGGGGGUUGAGGGUGGUGGGAAAGUGCUUCAGUCUUUGUUUCUUUGUCUUAUCAUCUUACUCUAUUUUAACUCUUAUUAUUAAUUAAUUUUGUCCCAGUCAAGUCUGUUUUACCCACAACAGUAAUUGGUGAGCAAUCUCCUUGCCCUCAUCUUAACCCAUGAGUUGUUUUCUUAUUUUUUUAUCCUGUCCCACUGAGGAAGAGCAGGGAGAGAGCUGCUGGGUAGGAGAUUGGUAGCCAUAGCUAAUCUACCAUACCAGUGUAUCAUCUCUGUAGCAUCUCUAAUUUGAUUUGUAUCAAAUGAGAGUAUUCAAAAAGUCAUAGUUCUAGAAAAAAUAUGUGCAUGUAAUUUCAUGUUCUCAAGCUAAACAUAUGAAAGAUUUCACUUGCCACUUUGUGGGUAAAACUGGACAUUCCAGCAAAAGACACGUAUAUACGCCUUAUAAUUUUUUAAUUUCUCAACUGUUAUCCUUAGUAGUUUUCUUAAUUUCUCAAUUUCUCUCUUAAUUUCUCUUAAAUUCUCUUAAUCUCUCUUAAUUUUUUUAAUUACAGAGGGGGGGGAUUAAUUCAAAUUACCUGAAUAACUUUUGAAAACUAAUUCCUAUUCUUCCUACAUGUUCAAUCUGUAAGAUGUAUGCACAAAGUAGCAUUUGUCAAGAUGCGAAUACAUAACCAUAAUGACGUUAAUGUCUUAUCCAGAAUUCCCUGCUGGAUAAACACUGCUGGGGCUCAUACUUGCCAAGCAGAGCCAAGGCCAUCUUCUGUACCUUCCUGUUACUUUCUCCAGCUCAGGCUCUCUGCCAUUAUCUCCUCCAAUCAAGCAUUAUUACAUAUGUGGCUUCAGCUGGUGUUCUGACAAUUCAAGACAUCCGAUAUUGACAAUAUUGACAGUGCUCUGAAAUCUGGAAAUCAGUAUGUAAGAGGUGGUAUGGUUGAACUUUGCAACCAGUAUAAACUGUAUCCAAAUAAUACAAGGAAUGCUGCAAAUGGUAUUAGACACUUCAACAUCUAUAUUAUGUACCUUUAAACAUUCCAAAAUAUGGAAGUGUUUCUAAUGGAUCUUGCAGUAUUCAGUCAAGUGGAUUGCCCCUGUAGAGGUUAUGAACACAUCUAAUCCAUGAAACUCAGAUUCCUCACUGACCUGAGUCUUCCCUUGUGAAGACUAUUUGAGCUAGCAGAUCUAAAAUGUGCUUAAUAUAUUUGUAAUUUUAUCCUGAGUGAAGAAUCAACUCAAUUUCAGAAUGGCAUUGAAAAAAAAUGGCAACUGAAAAUCUGCUAAGAUGUUUUUUAUCAAAACAGUUGGGAAUUAUACUUCUUAAACUGCCUGUGACUGUUUAUAAGAUUUAUUUUUUUUAAAGCAGUUGCUCUAUAUUUGUGACAGUGGCUCAUCUAUUGCUACAAACGAAAGCCAAAAUUUCAACAUAAUGCUAAAAAUGGAAUUAAAGUUUGUAGCUGAGCUUCUUCAAAAGAAUUCUGAAUUUGGGGUUAGAGUACUACCAUGUCUUUUUAUUUCAUGUUUAAUAACUAAUUUUUGCCUGUGAGAGUCUCCUCUUUCUGAAACUUGGCAUGACAUAACAUGUUAUUGAUCUAUAUUGUACACUCAAGUCUUGAUAUUGUCAGUUGUCCCAAGUGCCAUAAAAACAUAAGGAAGGCAAAUAUCUCAGCUGAAAAGCUUAAAUUUAAUUUUGUCACAACUCAGAUGUUAUGUGGGAAGCUGAAUGGCUUAUAAUUUUUAGGUCUUUAACUGAUAAAGGACCACAGAUUUUAGGAAGCUGAUGUGGUUAGCAAGGCCAGAUAUUUCAUCUAAGCCAAACAAGAAAGAAGUGCAAUUUCUGACUGUUUUACUAAUGGCAGAGCGCAAUGGAACCUUAGGAGUAGGAUAGUUCAGUGGAGGGGACCUGUAAGACAAUCAUCCAGUCCAGCUGACUGACCAGUUCAGGAUUCAUCAAAAGUUAAAGCAUGUUAUUAAGGGUAUCCAAACUGACAGGCUUGGGGCAUUGACCACUUAUCUAGGAAGCCUGUUCCAGUGUUUGACCACCCAGUUAUGAAACGCUUCCUAAUCCAGUCUGAACCUCCUAUGGUGCAGGCUGAAACUAUUCCCUUCUGUCCUAUCCCUGGGUCUGAGUGAGAAGCCAUCAGAAGAUCCAUCUCCACUUCCCCUCCUCAGGAAGCUACCCCAGAGAGCAAUGAGGUCACCUCUCAGCCUCCUUCAUUCCAAACCAGACAAAUCCAAAGUCCUCAGCUGCUCCUCAUAGGACUUGUGUUCUAAAUUCAGAUUAAGUGUUAAUAGAUGACCAAAGUUGAAACUACUAUGUGUGCAUGUGCGUAUACCAGAAAGAAAACACAGGAAACAGCAAGAGAAUUAAGUCAGAGAGCAAUCCAAAGAAGAGAAUUCAGAGUAAAAUGUUAUCAGAUGAAAGAUGUGUCUCCUGUUUCUUAUUUUCUACCAUAUUCAGGAAAAUAGGAUUCCAUGUACAUUUUUCAAAAAUAAACAAGAUUACAACAAAGACAUAUCUGAUUGCAAAGUCAAUUUCAGAGGAAAAUAAAACAGUCUGAAAGGUCUCAAACUGCUUAACUUCUCAAGCUAUAUCUCUGUGGAAUUGUGUCUUGCUAUUCUUCUUAUUAUAGACCUGUAAGAGAAAAGACGGGUGUUUUUUCCAAAAUGUUCUAGUUUGUGAGUUACAAACUAAAGGAAAAACAAAAAUAUAUUUGUGAGGCAAUGAAGGAUUAUUGCACAUUCAUUUAAAGCUAAAACAUACGGUUUGUAAUUUAAAAGUAAAUCAUUCUGUAUUUAAAUGUUAUAUUUUUUCUUGUGAAGUGACUCACCCAAGCAAAACAACAAUGCUGAUUUGUUAUAAGAAAGCCAUUUUGCCAUACAGAAAUGGAAUAUUUUUCAGUUAUAGUUAUUUUGAUCAUUCUGUGAUAUAGCUAUUUCUUCUAACAUUAUUAUUUUUAACUGUUAAAAAUGAUCUUGUCAGUAGUAAAGGAAUAGAACAAC